AUAUUGGGCAAUGGGCGCAAGCCUGACCCAGCAACGCCGCGUGAAGGAAGAAGGCUUUCGGGUUGUAAACUUCUUUUGACAGGGAAGAGCAGAAGACGGUACCUGUCGAAUAAGCCACGGCUAACUACGUGCCAGCAGCCGCGGUAAUACGUAGGUGGCAAGCGUUGUCCGGAUUUACUGGGUGUAAAGGGCGUGUAGCCGGGCUGACAAGUCAGAUGUGAAAUUCCGGGGCUCAACCCCGGACCUGCAUUUGAAACUGUUGGUCUUGAGUAUCGGAGAGGCAGGCGGAAUUCCUAGUGUAGCGGUGAAAUGCGUAGAUAUUAGGAGGAACACCAGUGGCGAAGGCGGCCUGCUGGACGACAACUGACGGUGAGGCGCGAAAGCGUGGGGAGCAAACAGG
rnacentral:rRNA from 1 species